AUUGAACGCUGGCGGCAUGCCUUACACAUGCAAGUCGAACGGUAACGGGCCUUCGGGUGCCGACGAGUGGCGAACGGGUGAGUAAUGUAUCGGAACGUACCUUUCAGUGGGGGAUAACGUAGCGAAAGUUACGCUAAUACCGCAUAUUCUGUGAGCAGGAAAGCAGGGGAUCGCAAGACCUUGCGCUGAUUGAGCGGCCGAUAUCAGAUUAGCGAGUUGGUGAGGUAAAGGCUCACCAAGGCGACGAUCUGUAGCGGGUCUGAGAGGAUGAUCCGCCACACUGGAACUGAGACACGGUCCAGACUCCUACGGGAGGCAGCAGUGGGGAAUUUUGGGCAAUGGGGGCAACCCUGAUCCAGCCGUGCCGCGUGAGUGAAGAAGGCCUUCGGGUUGUAAAGCUCUUUCGGCCGGGAAGAAAUCGUAUGGGUUAAUACCCUGUGCGGAUGACGGUACCGGCAUAAGAAGCACCGGCUAACUACGUGCCAGCAGCCGCCGUAAAAC
rnacentral:rRNA from 1 species